GUUCCCUUUUUCUGUAAGUCGCUUUGGAUAAAAGCGUCUGCUAAAUUACUAAAU
rfam:Larimichthys crocea isolate SSNF unplaced genomic scaffold scaffold645, whole genome shotgun sequence.